GACGAACGCUGGCGGCGUGCUUAACACAUGCAAGUCGAACGGAAAGGCCCCUUUGGGGGUACUCGAGUGGCGAACGGGUGAGUAACACGUGAGUGACCUGCCCUUGACUUCGGGAUAACUUCAGGAAACUGGGGCUAAUACCGGAUAGGAAUCCUUGCUGCAUGGUGGGGGUUGGAAAGCUUCGGCGGUUUUGGAUGGACUCGCGGCUUAUCAGCUUGUUGGUGGGGUAGUGGCUUACCAAGGCUUUGACGGGUAGCCGGCCUGAGAGGGCGACCGGCCACAUUGGGACUGAGAUACGGCCCAGACUCCUACGGGAGGCAGCAGUGGGGAAUAUUGCACAAUGGGCGGAAGCCUGAUGCAGCAACGCCGCGUGCGGGAUGACGGCCUUCGGGUUGUAAACCGCUUUCAGCAGGGGCGAAGCUUGUGGUGACGGUACCUGCAGAAGAAGCACCGGCUAACUACGUG
rnacentral:rRNA from 1 species